rnacentral:rRNA from 1 species
AUUGAACGCUGGCGGCAGGCCUAACACAUGCAAGUCGAACGAGUGGCGGACGGGUGAGUAAUGUCUGGUAAACUGCCUGAUGGAGGGGGAUAACUACUGGAAACGGUAUCUAAUACCGCAUACCAUCAGAUGUUCCCAGAUGGGUUUGGCUUGUUGGUGGGGUAACGGCUCACCAAGGCGAGGAUCCCUAGCUGGUCUGAGAGGAUGACCAGCCGCACUGGAACUGAGACACGGUCCAGACUCCUACGGGAGGCAGCAGUGGGGAAUAUGGAAGAAUGGGCGCAAGACUGAUGCAGCCAUGCCGAGUGUAUGAAGAAGGCAUUCGGGUUGUAAAGUAAUUUCAGCGGGGAGGCGUUACCCGCAGAAGAAGCACCGGCUAACUCCGUGCCAGCAGCCGCGGUAAUAC